GCCGGAGUAGCUCAAUGGUAGAGCAGCACUUUUGUAAAGUGUUUGUUGGGGGUUCGAUUCCUCUCUCCGGCU
rnacentral:tRNA from 1 species